rnacentral:rRNA from 1 species
UACGAAGGGGGCGAGCGUUGUUCGGAUUUACUGGGCGUAAAGGGCGCGUAGGCGGCCCUCUUUGUCGCGUGUGAAAGCCCCGGGCUCAACCUGGGAAUGGCGCGCGAAACGGGGGGGCUUGAGUUCGGGAGAGGAGCGUGGAAUUCCCAGUGUAGAGGUGAAAUUCGUAGAUAUUAGGAAGAACACCAGUGGCGAAGGCGGCUCACUGGCCCGGUACUGACGCUGAGGCGCGAAAGCGUGGGGAGCAAACAGG